rnacentral:rRNA from 1 species
UCUUGGUCAUUUAGAGGAAGUAAAAGUCGUAACAAGGUCUCCGUUGGUGAACCAGCGGAGGGAUCAUUACCGAGUUUACAACUCCCAAACCCCUGUGAACAUACCAAUUGUUGCCUCGGCGGAUCAGCCCGCUCCCGGUAAAACGGGACGGCCCGCCAGAGGACCCCUAAACUCUGUUUCUAUAUGUAACUUCUGAGUAAAACCAUAAAUAAAUCAAAACUUUCAACAACGGAUCUCUUGGUUCUGGCAUCGAUGAAGAACGCAGCAAAAUGCGAUAAGUAAUGUGAAUUGCAGAAUUCAGUGAAUCAUCGAAUCUUUGAACGCACAUUGCGCCCGCCAGUAUUCUGGCGGGCAUGCCUGUUCGAGCGUCAUUUCAACCCUCAAGCCCAGCUUGGUGUUGGGACUCGCGAGUUAAACCGCGUUCCCCAAAUUGAUUGGCGGUCACGUCGAGCUUCCAUAGCGUAGUAGUAAAACCCUCGUUACUGGUAAUCGUCGCGGCCACGCCGUUAAACCCCAACUUCUGAAUGUUGACCUCGGAUCAGGUAGGAAUACCCGCUGAACUUAAGCAUAUCAAUAAGCGGAGGAA